GAGGUAGUUGAAUCAUGGGGUCGGGUCUUUCCAGUGCUGUUCUUUUGAGAAUGAAUAAGUCUCGUGAGAUCUGAUGGUUUGAUAAGGGGCUUUUCCCCCUUUUGCUCGGCACUUCUUCCUGCGAUCAUGUGAAGAAGGACGUGUUUGCUUCUCUUUCCAUCAUGAUUGUCAGUUUCCUGGGGCUUCCCAAACCAUGCUGAACUAGAGAAGACCAAGAAAUGACUGAUAGGCAACCAACAAGAAUACCUGUGAAAUGGAGACAAGAAUGUUUGAGAACUGACUGACCAUCCAGUGGCACCUGAGAAAAGGAUAUGUCAAUGUUAUCUAAUCCUGGAUCAUGUUAUGCAAAAUUCUAAGAUGAAUCUGAAGACACCUGCUUUAUGGUUUGCAAACAUUGUACAAAUUCCUCCUCUUGUAUGUGUUGUGGUCUGUGCAUAAGAUGGAUUUUAUAACUAUAAUUAGGCUGCAUUAUAUGACAAAGGUAGGAUUUCCAGUACUUUAUUGAACAUAUACAGAAUGGCACAAUGGAUAAGAAUUCACCAAUCAAAAAAUCUGCUGUCUUCAAGAGGCUCAUCUGGCAUAUAAGGACUCACAUAAACUUAAGGGAGAAGCCAGGAGUAGAAGUCUCCUAUGAUCACAUGGGGCUGAACAAGAGACAGAACAAAGAUAAUUCAGUACCACAAAUUUUCCUGCUACCUUUGAUGCUGCUGGUUUUGAAUCACCUGGGGUGCGGGAGACUUUUAACCUUUAACUGUAUUUCUCACAAAAGAAAUUGAUUCAUGCAUUGUUGUUGAGUCUUUGUCUCCAUGGGGGAAAGGAGAGACUCUAUCCUUCUAUUCUGCCAUCUUGCUGACAUCAACGAUCUGAAAUUAUUUUUGACUAUACAGUGAAGAGAUAGCUAAUGAGAGUGUUUGGAAAUAUACAUUAAGGGAGUAUGUUUCACAUAAAUAUAACAAAAUUAUUAAUGGAGUUACAAAUUGAGCUGUCAUUUUCAUUUACAACUAAUCUAAUAUUUAUUUCAUUUAAACAUACAACUAUAAAGUGAUGAAUAAUAUCUUAUUACUUUAUUGUGAUCCAAGUUUGAAAUAAUGGACCACAGAGCUUAGAGACUGAAUAUACAAAUAAGCAAUGACCAGACUGCAUAUCACAAUAAGCGCAAGAAUGCAAACCACAACCUCUGCAUCAACUGGCCCAGAAUUGUCAGGACUUGGUCGUGACAGCGUAUGACUGCUUACCUAUUUUUCUCCCUGCUUCCAACUCAUGACCAACCAAGUAAAAUCAAAUGUACUCCCAAAACCAACCACAGAAUAUGUCCUGCUGUUAGUUAGCUGAGUUUGAGCAUCCUCAUGACCUCUAAUCAGAGUGUACCUGAAACCUUCUAUUUGUUCACUAUAUAGCAUUCUCACUCCCCUGCCUGCAUUUGAAUCUCUGUCACACUCAAGCUUGCUGUAGGAAACUCUGAAUAGGUUAUGUUUGUUUAUAUUUGGGUAGUCUUCAUAUAGCAUAUUAGUAAAAUUAUUCUCAAGUAUAUAGUAAUCACACAGGCAGCUAUCAGGACUAAAUGGUAAAUAGACAAGACACUUGAACAGAUAUUUUUCCUCAAAGAUGUAUAAAUGACUGAUAAACCCUUGAAGAUGCUCUAAAUCACUAAACUUUAGAGAAAUGCAAAUCAAAGCCAUGAUGAAAUAUGACAUCACAACUCUUAGGAUGGAUAACAUUAAAAAAAAGACAGAAAAUAGCAAGUUUUGAUAAGGAUGUGAACAAAUUGAAAACCUAUGCAUUAAUAAGUGGCAGAACCAUGGUGGAAUACACUUUUUUAGCAUUUCCUAAAAAAUAAACACUUGUUAUCAUAAUAUCCAUAAAUUCCACUUAUGUAAUAAAAGACAAGAAUUCAAACACACAUUUGCACACUCAUGUUCAUAGCAACAUUAUUUUCAAUAGCUAAAAUGUAAAAGCUACCCAAGUGUCAUAGAUGGAUGAAUAAAUCAACAAAAUGUUGUCUAUACAUACAAUGGAAUAUUAUUUACCCCUAAAAGGAAGAAAUACUCACAAAGGAUCAUUCAUGCUACUACCUGUAUGAUCCUUGAAGAUACUAUGCUAAAUAAAAUAAGCCAGUCACAGAAGGGUGAUUGUUGCAAUUUUUUACUAAUAUGAAGUACCUAGAGUAGUCACAUUCAUCAAGGCAGAAAUUAGAAUGGUUGUUGCCUAAGGCUGGAGAGAACAAAGAGGGUUAUUGUUUAAAGGGUACGAAGUUAUUAUUGGGAAAGAUGAAAAAGUUCUAGAAAUGGAUGAUGGUGAUGGUUGCACAUACAUUUGAAUUUACUGAAUAUCCCUGAACCAUACACAUACAAAUGAUUAAAAUAAAAAAUUCAAAGAAAGUUUUAAAUGUUUCUGGAGCUUAACAAAGAAUGCCAUCCAUAGAUGAACAUUUACAGUUUAGAUGUGACUAUUCAAAUUAUGAGAAAGUCACUAUUCACCAGAGUGUACAGGGAAGAGAAGGGUCUCAAGAACUAUGCUUUGGGGAAACAAAAUAUCUUGACCCAAUUCCCACUUCUGAACAUACCUCCGCCACUCCCACGAAGGCACUUUAAUUUCUUACUGAAUUUGUUGUGUUAAACACUUGUUUUGUAUCAGUCAUAAAUAUAAGAAUAAUCUAACGCCUUACUUUAUCAUAUUACUUUAAAAACUGCUAUGAUUUGUUGAUAUUACACAUUCAGGGAGAGAGGACCGGGGUCAUGCAGUCUGUAUAAAGUGCAAUAUUAAAGCCUUCUGUAGUUUUUAAUGUCUCAGAGUCCAAACUCUCUUUGUUUCACUCUUCCCAGACACUAAAUCUGGUCUUUGGCCAGGGUUAUUUUCUAACUGAGCAGUAAGAAAAUACUAAUCAUAAAAAUAAUUUUUGCCAGAUUUUAUGUAAUUUGCCUGUGUUCAAUACCAGUCAGCACUUCCGCAUUUAGAAUGCUUUGUAUUUCUCUGGGGCUAUGACAACAAAUUUAGGUUGCUUUCAGUCUUCUACCAUUGUUACAUAUGCCAGGAUUUAGCUUUCAGUUACUAUUAUUUGUUAAUUCCAUUAAGUCAGCUGGAAACCAACUUCUAUAUUGUAUUUUUUUUUCUAUUUUAAAGAUAUUUGAAUUCUCUUCUUUUUUUCUGAUAUAGUAUACCUUGAGGACUUAUGCUUUUGUUUUUAACACCACUGCUAUCGAUUACUAUGGGUACAAGAGGGAAAAUAAGUAAAAUUGUGUCUAAUCCACUAUGCUUCCCUGCUAAAGCGACCCACUAUUAAUCAAUUAUCUCUCUUGUUUCUGUUUUAUUUCUUGCUUGUCUCUUUUAUACUGAAUUGUUUUCAUUUUUCUUAAUUUUCUCCUUAAACCCUGGUUUUCACUGUUCUCUCUGCUCCUUCCAUAAUCCCCUUAAUUUAUAUCCACAUUCCAGAUGGCCUUAUAUGCUACAUGUUCCUGGGAAACGUUCAUCUCCCCAAGUGCCUACAAUAUAAUAUCUCCUCCAUAAAGAAUGUUAAGUAAUUAAAUUACAAAGAGAAGAUCAUAAAGAGUAAUCCUGUGUUGUAGAAAUAAAUGGUGUACAUAU
rnacentral:lncRNA from 10 species